AACCUUGUCCAUUGUGAAAGAGAGAAAACACAAAUCAAAGAUGUAUCUGACCGCCCCUUUCCUUUCCUUUUCGUUCUCUCUCUCUCUCUCUUACUCAAAGAUUAAGAUUUUAGAUCUGGAUCUGGAUCUAUUCACCGUAAGCUGGUUGAAGAUGGAUCCCUAGCCGUCGCAUCUGGUGAAGACGGUGCUGAUUUCAACUAUCUGUGAUCUUAUGCUUCAAUUUCUCUUUUGUUGAUUUAUCAUUGUGUUCCACAGCCUCCUCAAGUUGCUGGAGUAGUCAAACAUAUAAGCUAUAUUCCUCGGAAAGAGAAAGGGAAGAAAGGAUCAGCAUGGAGGAUAUUCUGAUUGAAGGAGUUACAUGCUGCUACAACAAGCUUGGUGAACAUCCUGUAUUUCGUCGAAGAGUACAUCUGAACAUCCUUAAUUUCUUGAUUUUGUGUUGUUUGAUAAGUUUUAUGUGUCAAUUGUUUCUGUAAUUGAGUGAAUUUUAUGGAUGAUAGUUGCAUGUGUUGCAAGUAAUCUGGUAGGGUUUAAGUUGGUAGUUGGUACCAUUGCAUGCUAUGAGUUCUAGGUUUAUAGUUUGUGCUGAUAUUUUUGUUGUGCAAGUGUUUGAUCUGAAAAAAUAAAUCUCAUUCGUGUAUUAAACAGUUUCAUUUGUUUUUGGGGAUGUGUUUUUGAAAGAGUUUAUUUGUGAUUUGAUCACUUGAACAAUGAAAUUGAGAUAAUUUGUUGAUUAAGUAUGUGUUUAUAAAAGAACGUCUAUGCGCGAGGCGCGUUAAGGCGACGAGCAUGUGUUUUUGGAGGCCUUUUUUUCUCUUUUUUUAUAGUCGUUAGGUUUUUAAUGGGAUAAAUGGGUCACCAUCUUUAAAAGACCAAAGGAAUAUAAAAGUCGAGAAACGUAAGCAACGUUGCAAUCGGCUCCUCUCAUUGAGGUGCUUUAAAAGACCACUGGAUCUUCUGCAACUGUUGGGUUUUCAUAGAAACUACCAAAAAGCGGAUUCGAGAAACACAUCUGAAUCUUGGCGGUCACUCGGCUCCUCUCAUUGAGGUGCUUUAGGCAGGUAACUGUCUUUCUUGAUUGUCGUCUUACUUGCAUACGCCAAGUUAUGAUUGUAUUUGUUAAAAAAAAUCCAUUAACCUUCAUUUUUAAGAUAUUUUAACAAAUGAAACAAUCGUCUGUUUGUUAUUCUCCACAAGCAUUGAUAUUUUUUUAUGUCUAACAAACUUCCAUUAACCUUCAUCUAAUUUGCUUUUAUGAUUAGAUCAUUGAUAGCUGAUAUCAGUGUCUGUUUUAUGGAAUGCUUGAUUGUCAUAUUUAGUUGAAAUUGAGACGAGUAGCACCGCUGGUUGAAAUAAGGACAAUGAGUAGCAUACUAGCACAGGCUGAUCUAACUAUUUAUUAAAGAAUUAUGAUUUGUAAACUAUAAGACAUCCCAUUCAGAGUUUCAAUCAACCUGUCAUGUUUUAUAGUUUCAAAUAUUAUGUAUUUAAGCACCAUGGUUAUUGGCACUUGCCGAUUAUUGCUUAUUGCUGAUGAGCAAAAAGUGUUCUAAUGUGGAAUCCUGCACUAUUUAAGCUUCCCUCCAUCGAGUUGCUUCUCUUCAAUAAGAUCCGGCAGGAAGUUCAAAUCUAAACUAUUCUCAUGGAUUUUCUAUACUAUGUUUGAAUAAAAUAAAUUUAUUUAUUGAUGGAAUUGGUGUUACAGGCGGAUUGGAUGCAUGAAGUGGUCGUACGGUGGUUGUAUAACUUGGCUUUACGUUUGUGGUCAUAUGUAAGAGAAGAUGCCUCCCAUUGUGAUGUUGCAGCUGAAAAUGAAGUUGAUUCACACGCUAAGUCUGAAUCAGAUGACAGUAGUCCAAAAGACAUCUGGCGACUCAUUGACAAUGCUCGAACACCAAUUUACUUUCGAUCAUGUAGCAGAUGUAUCGUCAACUCAGACAAAUUGAUAUAUUCGAGCUUGUUGAAAACUGUCUUGUUGGAUUCAAUACCUCAAUAUUUUCAUAUAGGCAGACUGGGACCGGGAAGUACUACACGAUAUGGGGACCGACCAAUACGUUGUUAGAAGAGAAUGCGUAUAGUAAUGAACAAGGAUUGACGUCCCGUGUUUUCGCAUGAUUGUUUUCUCGCAUCAAUGAGGAACAAAAAAACACAUGCUGACAAACAACUACAUAUCAGUGCCGAUGUUCGUUUCUCUAGAGGCGAUGGCACUGCAGGCGAUCGAUUCCACGUCACUACACCCGCUCUCUAUCUCCAUGCCAUGGAAGAUCACGGUCCUACUGGCGUGAGUACUCGCCUCCUCCCAAUAGAAAGCAUCACUCAAGGUCUAUUACACCUCACAGAAAUUGAGAAAAAGGCAAAGUCAUGUCAGGGACAGGUCUCCUCCACCUUGUAAUGGCUCAAGGAGCCCAUGCCCAGGUCCUGAAAGAGUGAAACUGGCGCCAACGAGUCAUGGUCCUGAUCCACAUGACUACUCGAGAGGCAAACCAGACAGGGAUGCUUUGGUCAGCCCCUGGGUCAGCACUCGAGUGAUUUAGUUGCCAAAAGGGCUGUUAUGUUUUCAGAAUUUCAUGUUUUAGCUCUUGUUAUGGUGUUGGUAGUGGAUAGUUGUUUUGGUACAUUGAACCUAUAUAUUAUGGUUGUGCAAUUGCUAUUUUUAUUAGACUUUAUAUCAGAAGCAUGUUUUUCUGAA